rnacentral:rRNA from 1 species
UACGUAGGGUGCAAGCGUUAAUCGGAAUUACUGGGCGUAAAGCGUGCGCAGGCGGCUUUGCAAGACAGAUGUGAAAUCCCCGGGCUUAACCUGGGAACUGCAUUUGUGACUGCAUCGCUGGAGUGCGGCAGAGGGGGAUGGAAUUCCGCGUGUAGCAGUGAAAUGCGUAGAGAUGUGGAGGAAUACCGAUGGCGAAGGCAGCCUCCUGGGCCAACACUGACGCUCAUGCACGAAAGCGUGGGGAGCAAACAGG